rnacentral:rRNA from 1 species
CCUACGGGAGGCUGCAGUGAGGAAUAUUGGUCAAUGGACGAGAGUCUGAACCAGCCAAGUAGCGUGAAGGAUGACUGCCCUAUGGGUUGUAAACUUCUUUUAUACGGGAAUAAAACGUUCCACGUGUGGGAUUUUGUAUGUACCAUAUGAAUAAGGAUCGGCUAACUCCGGGCCAGCAGCCGCGGUAAUACGGAGGAUCCGAGCGUUAUCCGGAUUUAUUGGGUUUAAAGGGAGCGUAGGUGGAUUGUUAAGUCAGUUGUGAAAGUUUGCGGCUCAACCGUAAAAUUGCAGUUGAAACUGGCAGUCUUGAGUACAGUAGAGGUGGGCGGAAUUCGUGGUGUAGCGGUGAAAUGCUUAGAUAUCACGAAGAACUCCGAUUGCGAAGGCAGUUCACUGGACUGCAACUGACACUGAGGCUCGAAAGUGUGGGUAUCAAACAGGAUUAGAUACCCUAGUAGUC